AACCUAUCAGCCAUACCGCGUGCUGUGAAGAAGGCCUUCGGGUUGUAAAGUGCUUUCACCCAGAAGGAAAAGCUCUCGGUUAAUACCCGUUUAGCCUUGACGUUACCCUCAGAAUAAGCACCGGCUAACUCCGUGCCAGCAGCCGCGGUAAUACGGAGGGUGCAAGCGUUAAUCGGAAUUACUGGGCGUAAAGCGCGCGUAGGCGGUUUGUUAAGUUCGAUGUGAAAUCCCCGGGCUCAACCUGGGAACUGCAUAUUGUGACUGGCCAGCUAGAGUACAGCAGAGGGGGGUGGAAUUUCCACGUGUAGCCGUGAAAAUGCGUAGAUAUUGGAAGGAACCCCAGUGGCGAAGGCCACCCCUUGGGACUGAUACUGACGCUUAGGUGCGAAAGCGUGGGGAGCAAACAGGAUUAGAUUCCCUGGUAUGUCCCCGCCCUAUAACGAUGUUUAAUUUGCCGUUGGGUAAUUUACUUUCUCGGUGGCGAAGCUAACCGCGUAAGU
rnacentral:rRNA from 1 species